CGUGGGUAACCUGCCUUAUAGUGGGGGAUAGCCUUUCGAAAGGAAGAUUAAUACCGCAUAAGAUUGUAGUAUCGCAUGAUAUAGCAAUUAAAGGAGCAAUUCGCUAUAAGAUGGACCCGCGUCGCAUUAGCUAGUUGGUGAGGUAAUGGCUCACCAAGGCGACGAUGCGUAGCCGACCUGAGAGGGUGAUCGGCCACAUUGGGACUGAGACACGGCCCAGAAUCCUACGGGAGGCAGCAUG
rnacentral:rRNA from 1 species